rnacentral:lncRNA from 1 species
ACAUUAUCUGCACUCCCAGUUGUUGUUGGGUUAACUGCCCCAACAUUAUCUGCACUCUCAGUUGCUGUUGGGUUAACUGUCCCGACAUUAUCUACACUCUCAGUUGCUGUUGGGUCAACUGUCCCGACAUUAUCUACACUCUCAGUUGCUGUUGGGUCAACUGUCCCGACAUUAUCUACACUCUCAGUUGCUGUUGGGUUAACUGUCCCGACAUUAUCUACACUCUCAGUUGCUGUUGGGUUAACUGUCCCGACAUUAUCUACACUCUCAGUUACUGUUGGGUUAACUGUCCUGACAUUAUCUGCACUCUCAGCCAACUUGCUAUUUUGACCAGAACUUUGUACUACAUCUUGCGUUUGAACUUUGAAAAUAGAAUCAUGCAUACCAGUUUCAGGAAAACCCAGUCCCUGCUGAUUGACAUUUGGUCUUUCCAAUGACAUGU